UACGAGGGGGGCAAGCGUUGUUCGGAAUUAUUGGGCGUAAAGGGCGCGUAGGCGGUGCGGUAAGUCACCUGUGAAAACUCUGGGCUCAACUCAGAGCCUGCAGGCGAAACUGCCGUGCUGGAGUGUGGGAGAGGUGCGUGGAAUUCCCGGUGUAGCGGUGAAAUGCGUAGAGAUCGGGAGGAACACCAGAGGCGAAGGCGGCGGCCUGGACAGGAACUGACACUCAACUACGAAAGCGUGGGGAGCAAACAGG
rnacentral:rRNA from 1 species